GCCUCUGGCACUGUGUCGUCCGCCCGCCACGCAGACUGGCGCGUCCAGGUGGCCGUGAAGCACCUGCACAUCCACACUCCGCUGCUCGACAGAAACUGAAUAUCCUGAUGUUGCUUGGCCAUUGAGAUUUCGCAUCCUGCAUGAAAUUGCCCUUGGUGUAAAUUACCUGCACAAUAUGACUCCUCCUUUACUUCAUCAUGACUUGAAGACUCAGAAUAUCUUAUUGGACAAUGAAUUUCAUGUUAAGUUGCAGAUUUUGGUUUAUCAAAGUGGCGCAUGAUGUCCCUCUCACAGUCACG
rnacentral:lncRNA from 1 species